rnacentral:rRNA from 1 species
CCUACGGGAGGCUGCAGUGGGGAAUAUUGGACAAUGGGCGCAAGCCUGAUCCAGCAACGCCGCGUGAAGGAAGAAGGAUUUCGGGUUGUAAACUUCUUUUCUGAGGGACGAAGAAAGUGACGGUACCUCAGGAAUAAGCCACGACUAACUACGUGCCAGCAGCCGCGGUAAUACGUAGGUGGCAAGCGUUCUCCGGAUUUAUUGGGGGUAAAGGGCGUGUAGGCGGGAAAGCAAGUCAGAUGUGAAAACUCAUGGCUCAACCCUGAGCCUGCAUUUGAAACUGUUUUUCUUGAGUGCUGGAGAGGUAAUCGGAAUUCCGUGUGUAGCGGUGAAAUGCGUAGAUAUACGGAGGAACACCAGUGGCGAAGGCGGAUUGCUGGACAGUAACUGACGCUGAGGCGCGAAAGCGUGGGGAGCAAACAGGAUUAGAUACCCCAGUAGUC